rnacentral:rRNA from 1 species
AUUGAACGCUGGCGGCAUGCUUUACACAUGCAAGUCGAACGGCAGCGCGGGGGCAACCCUGGCGGCGAGUGGCGAACGGGUGAGUAAUGUAUCGGAACGUAUCCUGUAAUGGGGGACAACCAGUCGAAAGAUUGGGUAAUACCGCAUACGCACGAGAGUGGAAAGUAGGGGAUCGCAAGACCUUACGUUAUAGGAGCGGCCGAUAUCUGAUUAGCUAGUUGGUGGGGUAAAGGCCUACCAAGGCGACGAUCAGUAGCUGGUCUGAGAGGACGACCAGCCACACUGGGACUGAGACACGGCCCAGACUCCUACGGGAGGCAGCAGUGGGGAAUUUUGGACAAUGGGCGAAAGCCUGAUCCAGCCAUGCCGCGUGCAGGAAGAAGGCCUUCGGGUUGUAAACUGCUUUAGUCUAGGAAAAAGGGGUGCGAGGUUAAUACCCUCGUGCUUUGAUGGUACUGGAAGAAUAAGCACCGGCUAACUACGUG